rnacentral:lncRNA from 1 species
GAUGGUUAGACCACCACCCCAGCCACUGCAAAGGUAGGGGGAGACCUGAUUAUCAACUGUGCCAAACCUUGUUCAGCACCACUCCCAUUUACUGUCCACUCCCAUUCUACUCAGCGGGCAUUUCUUGGAGUGACGUUGGCCAAGGUGCCAGAGCAUCAGGGGAGGGAGGAAGGGUAAAUGAAGAAUUGUCCUCUUCUCUCCCCUUCCCUUUUCCGAUCACCUCAUCCCUCCAACCAGUGUCACUCCAAUACAAGUCCAGGAAACAAGUGACCAACACAGGUCAGAGGACAGGUGACCAACAUAAGUCAAUGAUAUGAGCGACCAACACCUGCUGGCUACUGCAACAAAGAAAAUCAGGAGCAGGGAGACAGUGAAUGCCAUCCCAUGUAGGACUUCUUGAGUCUGGGGAGUACAGGAUGACAAUAUACAGUUGCCCAACUGUUUACAUGGGCUCAAAUUCAUGAUUUGCUCCAGAAUCUGAGGAACAAUUCAGAGCAAUCCUCAACUUUAGUUAGCACAGUUCAAGGCUGUUUUAAACAUCUUUAGCUAAACUGAAUCAGCUCCAUGCAUUGUUUAGUCACCACAAAACCAAUUCCCAUUGCACUAAGUGGCCAGUGUAAAUGCCAAGCAAACUCUUAAAAUAAAUCAGUCUUAAAGUUUCCUUCUACAGUAGAGUCUCACUUAUCCAACAUAAACGGGCCGGCUGAACAUUGGAUAAGCAAAUAUGUUGGAUAAUAAGGAGGCAUUAAGGAAAAGCCUAUGAAACAUCAAAUUAGGUUAUGAUUUUACAAAUUAAGCACCAAAACAUCAUGUUAUACAACAAAUUUGACAGAAAAAGUAGUUCAAUAUGCAGUAAUGUUAUGUUUAAUUACUGUAUUUAUGAAUGUAGCACCAAAAUAUCACGAUGUAUUGAAAACAUUGACUACAAAAACACUGACUACUAAAAGACAGACUGCAUUGGAUAAUCCAGAAUGUUGGAUAAGCGAAUGUUGGAUAAGUGAGACUCUACUGUAGUACCAGCAGCCUGCAAAGGCAUAGUCCCACAAUCCCUCUGCCAGAGUGGCCAUUUCUCCCUCUGAUUGUAUUAAAGAGAAGUACCUUUUGUACUGAAUUUCCCAGUGCUUUGUACAAGGCUAAGGAAUUUGAAGACAGAGACGCCCUUUCCCGCCUUGGCAUCAGAA